rnacentral:rRNA from 1 species
ACGCUGGCGGCGUGCUUAACACAUGCAAGUCGAACGGUAAGGCCCUUCGGGGUACACGAGUGGCGAACGGGUGAGUAACACGUGGGUGAUCUGCCCUGCACUUUGGGAUAAGCCUGGGAAACUGGGUCUAAUACCGAAUAUGACCAUGGACUUCACGGUUUGUGGUGGAAAGCUUUUGCGGUGUGGGAUGGGCCCGCGGCCUAUCAGCUUGUUGGUGGGGUAAUGGCCUACCAAGGCGACGACGGGUAGCCGGCCUGAGAGGGUGACCGGCCACACUGGGACUGAGAUACGGCCCAGACUCCUACGGGAGGCAGCAGUGGGAAUAUUGCACAAUGGGCGCAAGCCUGAUGCAGCGACGCCGCGUGGGGAUGACGGCCUUCGGGUUGUAAACCUCUUUCACCAGGGACGAAGCGAGAGUGACGGUACCUGGAGAAGAAGGACCGGCCAACUACGUG